CCGUCGUCGUGAUGGCGAUGGUGGUGGUGGUGGUGGGGCGGCGGUAGGUGAGUAGGCACGGUAGGGGGUGGGGUUGGUUGGGUCAGGUGAACACGAUCGCGGAUGGGAUUAGUAGACGGCGUAGCGGUGCCUUGGUGCUGCUGCGUGUCAGCGUGUGCUACCUGUCUCAACGGGUUGCUCUCCUGCUCUCCUCCUGCACUGUGGCUGGCUGGGAGCGAUGCGGGUGACUCGGCGGGCCGCGGCAGUGAAGGUGACUGUGCAAGGCAUCGGGUUUGUCCGCCUCAUUGUGGCCACUCGCUCGUGGUCAUGUUCAUGGUACUCGGCACGCACGUCACAGGUGCAGUGGGUGUGCGCGCAGCUGUCCACCGGCAGCGUCGCGUCUGGCUGUUGUGUUGCUUGCAGAGUAGUGCUGCAGGCCCGACGGCGGUGCGGCGCGUGCGGUGGAUGGUUUGGCGUUGCUGCCAGUGCAUGUUGUACCGAGGGUGGAAUAGUCGGUGGUGCUGUGGUAGAUCGGCCACUCGACCCGUCUUGAAACACGGACCAAGGAGUUUAACAUGUGUGCGAGUCAAGGGUGUGCACGAAACCCAGUGGGGGCGCAGUGAAAGUGGAGUCUGCGUCGCACGGAUGCAUGCAGUGCGGUGCGGUGCAGCGAGGUGAGAUCCUGCCGCGUCGGCUUUAUGGGCGUUGGUGGGCGCAUCACCGGCCCGUCCCAUGGUGUGAUGGUUGGUUGGUCGGUCGGUCGGUCGGUGGUAGCGGGUUGGCGGUCAAUGCGUCGUCACGGGGGCGGAGCAUGAGCACGCAUGUUGAGACCCGAAAGAUGGUGAACUAUGCUUGCGUAGGUUGAAGCCAGAGGAAACUCUGGUGGAGGACCGUAGCGAUUCUGACGUGCAAAUCGAUCGUCAAACGUGAGUAUAGGGGCGAAAGACUAAUCGAACCGUCUAGUAGCUGGUUCCCUCCGAAGUUUCCCUCAGGAUAGCUGGCACUCGUUGGCAUCAGUUUUAUCCGGUAAAGCGAAUGAUUAGAGGUGCUGGGUUCGAAACGAGCUCAACCUAUUCUCAAACUUUAAAUGGGUGAGAUGUCCAGCUCGCUUCACGCGCGUGCAUGCAUGCCUUGCAGGCGAUGGUGGAGUUGGGCGUUGAAUGUGUGGGUGCCAAGUGGGCCAUUUUUGGUAAGCAGAACUGGCGCUGUGGGAUGAACCAGACGCCUGGUUAAGGUGCCUAACGCUGACGCUCAUGAGAUACCACAAAAGGUGUUGGUUAAUAUAGACAGCAGGGCGGUGGCCAUGGAAGUCGGCAUCCGCUAAGGAGUGUGUAACAACUCACCUGCCGAAUUGACCAGCCCUGAAAAUGGAUGGCGCUGGAGCGUCGGACCUAUACCGGGCCGUCAUCGCAAGCUGCUGGUACACGUGGCUGACUGGCUGACUGGCUAACAGGCAGGCAGGCGGGCAGGCGGCGUGUGCGUGGCGGGCGCGGAGUGCGAUGUCGAGUAGGAGGGUCGCCGUGGUGAGCGUGGAAGCCUCGAGCGUGAGUUUGGGUGGAGCCGCCACGGGUGCAGAUCUUGGUGGUAGUAGCAAAUAUUCAAGUGAGAGCCUUGAGGGCCGAGGUGGAGAAGGGUUCCAUGGGAACAGCGGUUGGCCAUGGGUCAGGCGGUCCUAAGUGAUCCGGUGACUCGGUGCAGAGUUGUGGGGUGCCUUGCAUGCUUACGACGGUGGUGGUUGUAUGUGGUGGUGUUUGCAGUGGCAGCUCCCCGGAGCGAAAGGGAAUCGGGUUAAUAUUCCCGACCCUGCUCACGGAGAUGGGUGGUGUCGGUGGCUAGUCGGCUAGCCGUCUGACUGUCUGUCUGUCUGUCUGUCUGUCGGCUAGUUGGCUGGUGUGCGGGCACCAUCAGGCGCGGUGACGCAAACGAACUCGGAGACGUCGGCAAGAGUUGCGGGAAGAGUUUUCUUUUCUUUGUAAGGGCGGUUACCACCCCUGGAAUCGGGUUGUCCGGAGAUAGGGGUAUCACCUCCGUAAAGCACCACCCCUCUUGUGGUGUCCGGUUAGCUCUUGUGGGCCCUUGAAAAUCCGAGGGAGGCGAGGUUAUUUUCGUGGCAGGCCGUACCCAUAUCCGCAUCAGGUCUCCGAGGUGAAGAGCCUCUGGCACUAGAAUAAUGUAGGUAAGGGAAGUCGGCAAAUUGGAUCCGUAACCUCGGGAAAAGGAUUGGCUCUGAGGGCUGAGUCAGGCAGGCUGGAGAAAGAAAUGAGCUCGCUCAGCUUGCGGCUGGCCAGUGGGCUGGUCGGUUGGUCGGUGGUCGGUUGGUCGGUCGGGUCGGUCGGUCGUCGGUCGUCGGUCGGU
rnacentral:rRNA from 1 species